GAUGAACGCUGGCGGCGUGCCUAAUACAUGCAAGUCGAGCGAAUGGAUUAAGAGCCUGCUCUUAUGAAGUUAGCGGCGGACGGGUGAGUAACACGUGGGUAACCUGCCCAUAAGACUGGGAUAACUCCGGGAAACCGGGGCUAAUACCGGAUAACAUUUUGAACCGCAUGGUUCGAAAUUGAAAGGCGGCUUCGGCUGUCACUUAUGGAUGGACCCGCGUCGCAUUAGCUAGUUGGUGAGGUAACGGCUCACCAAGGCAACGAUGCGUAGCCGACCUGAGGGGGUGGUCGGCCACACUGGGACUGAGACACGGCCCAGACUCCUACGGGAGGCAGCAGUAGGGGAUCUUCCGCAAUGGACGAAAGUCUGACGGAGCAACGCCGCGUAAGUGAUGAAGGCUUUCGGGUCGUAAAACUCUGUUGUUAGGGAAGAACAAGUGCUAGUUGAAUAAGCUGGCACCUUGACGGUACCUAACCAGAAAGCCACGGCUAACUACGUGCCAGCCGCCGCGGUAA
rnacentral:rRNA from 1 species